UACGAAGGGGGCUAGCGUUGCUCGGAAUCACUGGGCGUAAAGCGCACGUAGGCGGCUUUUUAAGUCAGGGGUGAAAUCCUGGAGCUCAACUCCAGAACUGCCUUUGAUACUGAGAAGCUUGAGUUCGGGAGAGGUGAGUGGAAUUCCCAGUGUAGAGGUGAAAUUCGUAGAUAUUGGGAAGAACACCAGUGGCGAAGGCGGCCAACUGGUCCAGCACUGACGCUGAGGUGCGAAAGCGUGGGGAGCAAACAGG
rnacentral:rRNA from 1 species